rnacentral:rRNA from 1 species
AACCUGGUUGAUCCUGCCAGUAGUCAUAUGCUUGUUUCAAGGAUUAAGCCAUGCAAGUCUCAGAGCAAAUAGAUUAACAGUGGGUCUGCAGACGGCUCAUUAAAUCGGCAGCAAUCUACGCGGGGAAGGUGCUUUCGUGCCCAGGUGGAUAACAAUGGUAACUCCAUUGCUAAUACAUGUCCGAAAAAUCCAACUCACACUCCACCCAGUUGGGAAACUGACUGGGGUGAGGUGGAUACAGUUGACCGAAAAAAGAAUUUAACGCUAGCAAUAGCAGCGGUUUGUGGAUGAAACAGGUCAACCGAGUGAUAGCACACGCCCUCGAGGCGGUGCAAGCCCGCAAGAGCUUCUGCCCUAUCAGCUUUUGACGGUAGUGUAGUGGACUACCGUGGCUGUAACGGGUAACGGGGAAUUAGGGUUCGAUUCCGGAGAGGGAGCCUGAGAAACGGCUACCACAUCUAAGGAUGGCAGCAGGCGCGCAAAUUGCCCAAUAGCAACACUGCUGAGGCAGCGAAGAGGAAUAGCAGCCCCCAGCUCAUAGAGUUGCGGGACUGCAAUGGACGAUAUCUAAACCUGUCGAUGAGUAACAAUUGGUGGACAAGUCUGGUGCCAGCACCCGCGGUAAUUCCAGCACCAAUAGCGUAUAUUAAUGCUGUUGCUGUUAAAAAGCUCGUAGUUGGAUCCAGGGCAUAGGUUGAAAGGCGGCCCAAUCGGAUCUGACUAGCGUACUGCUACGAGGAAAUCGGUUGGGGCAAACCCCUUUCGUCAAGACCUGUGCUCUAUGAACGGUGGUAAUGGUGCCUCGCGAGUAGGCCAUUCAUUUGGGUGAAAGCAAUCACGCGUAAACCAUACGCACACGGGUCGACCACCGAUGUUACUGUGAACAAACCAGCGUGCCCAAAGCAGGCGUUCGCCGUGAAUGAUAAAGCAUGGAAUAACAAGGGAUCGAUUCUCUCGGUACUUUUUGUUGGUUCUUGAGCCGAGCAGAAAUAACACAAACGGGGCUCUAAACAGUUUUCUUCGGAAUUCUGCGCAGACCUCGUCGAACGGGAUCAAUAGGGACUGCCGGGGUCGUACGUACUUCCACGUCAGAGGUGAAAUUCUUAGAUCGUGGGAAGACGAACUUCUGCGAAAGCAUUCGACAAGAAUGUCUUCAUUAAUCAAGAACGAGAGUGUGGGGAUCGAAGAUGAUCAGAUACCGUUGUAGUCCACUACUGUAAACGAUGCCGUCUCAGGAUCGAGAGAUGUUCUCUAAUGGCUCUCACGGCACUAACCCCUGAAACGAGAAAUCAAAGAUUAUGGGUUCAGGGGGGAGUACAUUCGCAAGGCUGAAACUUAAAGGAAUUGACGGAAUGACACCACCAGGCGUGGAGUAUGCGGCUUAAUUUGACUCAACACGGGGAAUUUUACUAGGUCAGGACAAUGUAAGGAUUGACAGAUUAGACGGGAAUUCCCACCCACCAGGCGUGGAGUAUGCGGGCUUUAAUUUGCCUCCACCACGGGAAUUUUACUAGGUCCAGGGCCAAUGUAGGGUUUGCCGGAUUGAGAGCUCUUUCUCGAUCCAUUGUGUGGUGGUGCAUGGCCGCUCCCUGGUUGGUGGAGUGAUUUGUCUGGUUGAUUCCGUUAACGAACGAGAUCUCGACCCUUAAAUAGGUAUGCCUGUCGCUUAGGACUUUUGCUAGCUUCGGUUAACAUAGUCUAAGACGAGCAACUACUUCUUAAGGGGACUGCGUGCGUCUUUAGCACGCGGAAGAGCGAGCCAAUAGCAGGUCUGUGAUGCUCCUAAAUGUCCUAGGCUGCACGCGCACUACACUGACGCAUUAAACGAGUUUGAUUGCCUCUUGGCAACCUAUCUUGAAGAGGAUGGGAAAUCUUUUGAACUUGCGUCGUGAUGAGGAUCGAUGAUUGCAAUUAUUCUCCUUGAAUGAGGAAUGCCUAGUAGGCGCAAGUCAUCAGCUUGCACUGAUUACGUCCCUGCCAUUUGUACACACCGCCCGUCGUUGCUACCGAUUGGCUGUGGGAUAGAGCUUGGGGGAGGUUGUCUCUUUGUGGUUACACACUGAGAUGUGCCGAAUCCAAGCAAUAUUUCUCAGCUAGAGGAAGCAAAAGUCGUAACAAGGUUGCUGUAGGUGAACCUGCAGAAGGAUC